rnacentral:rRNA from 1 species
GGGUCUGUCCAUUGGUCGGGCUUCACGGUCCGUACUGGUGAGAUGGGUUCCUACCUUCUGAAUAACCGGCAUGCCAUUCAGUUGGUGCGCCGGGGAAGCAGAGCUAUACCUUGAAAAAAUUAGAGUGCUUAAAGCAGGCUAUUGCUUGAAUAGAUUAGCAUGGAAUAAUAAAAUAGGACGGCAUGGUUCUAUUUUGUUGGUUUCUAGGAUCACCGUA